CUGCCGCUCAAUGUGAAACUUCACUUUUUUUGCUUGAAGGGAUGGUGAUUCAGACUCACAUUCAGUUGGUGCAUCAUUACCAAGGGAUUGAUUCUCGAUAUAUCCAUCGGCAUUCAAGUGAAGACAUCCAUAUUUUUCUAUAAGAAAAAUGUCACAUGAUCUUUUGUUACUUGAUCUAGAUUCGAUCUGAUUUGAACUGUGUGCUCUUG
rnacentral:lncRNA from 1 species